rnacentral:tRNA from 1 species
UACCCUUUUAGUAUAAACAGUACAAUUGACUUCCAAUCAAUUAGCUUCGGUACAACCCGAAAAAGAGUAA